UUGUUGAAAGUAAGGAAGUUUGCAAAAACUAUGCUGAGGCAAAGGAUGUCUUCCUGGGCAUGUUUUUGUAUGAAUAUGCAAGAAGGCAUCCUGAUUACUCUGUCGUGCUGCUGCUGAGACUUGCCAAGACAUAUGAAACCACUCUAGAGAAGUGCUGUGCCGCUGCAGAUCCUCAUGAAUGCUAUGCCAAAGUGGUAGGUUUAUUGUUGGAAAAAAAUGUAGUUCUUUGACUGAUGAUUCCAAUAAUGAGAAAGAAAAAUAAUGCAAGAAUGUAAAAUGAUAUACAGUGCAAUUUAGGUCUUUUCUUGAGAUGGUUUCAAUUCUGGAAUCUUAAACAUGAAAGAAAAAGUAGCCUUAGAAUGAUUAACAAAAUUUAGACUAGUUAGAAUAGAAAGAUCUGAAUAGAGCAAUCUCUAAAAAAU
rnacentral:sRNA from 1 species